rnacentral:rRNA from 1 species
UACGAAGGGGGCUAGCGUUGCUCGGAAUUACUGGGCGUAAAGCGCACGUAGGCGGCUCUUUAAGUCGGGGGUGAAAUCCUGGAGCUCAACUCCAGAACUGCCUUCGAUACUGCAGAGCUUGAGUUCGGGAGAGGUGAGUGGAACUGCGAGUGUAGAGGUGAAAUUCGUAGAUAUCAAGAGGAACACCUGAGGUGAAGACGGGUUGCUGGGCUGACACUGACGCUGAGGCGCGAAAGCCAGGGGAGCAAACGGG